rnacentral:rRNA from 1 species
GAAAGAUGAUCAGGUUGAUAGGUCUGAGGUGGAAGUGUGGCGACACAUGGAGCUGACAGAUACUAAUCGAUCGAGGACUUAACCUA